GGCGAAUUAGCUCAGCUGGUUAGAGCAGCGGAAUCAUAAUCCGUGUGUCCGGGGUUCGAGUCCCUGAUUCGCCUCCA
rnacentral:tRNA from 1 species